AUGUGUCUGUCUAUCCCUGUUCUCUCCCCUCUGCACAGGCCAUACAAACGCUCCACACCGCGUGGCCGCUGCCACUCUAACCUGGUGGUCCCAGCGCGCACGACCCACGUGGAGUUCCAGAUCUCCGGCAGCCUCUGGAACUGCCGGUCUGCGGCCAACAAGGCUGAGUUCAUCUCAGCCUAUGCUACCCUCCAGUCCCUAGACUUCCUGGCGCUGACGGAAACAUGGAUUACCACAGAUAACACUGCUACUCCUCCUGCUCUCUCCUCGUCUGCCCACGUGUUCUCGCAUACCCCUAGAGCAUCGAGCCAGCGGGGUGGUGGCACUGGAAUCCUCAUCUCUCCCAAGUGGACAUUCUCUCUUUCUCCCCUGACCCAUCUGUCUAUCUCCUCAUUUGAAUUCCAUGCUGUCACAGUUACCAGCCCUUUCAAGCUUAACAUCCUUAUCAUUUAUCGCCCUCCAGGUUCCCUUGGAGAGUUCAUCAAUGAGCUUGACGCCUUGAUAAGUUCCUUUCCUGAGGAUGGCUCACCUCUCACAGUUCUGGGUGACUUUAACCUCCCCACGUCUAACUUUGACUCAUUCCUCUCUGCCUCCUUCUUUCCACUCCUCUCCUCUUUUGACCUCACCCUCUCACCUUCCCCCCCUACUCACAAGGCAGGCAAUACGCUUGACCUCAUCUUUACUAGAUGCUGUUCUUCCACUAAUCUCAUUGCAACUCCCCUCCAAGUCUCUGACCACUACCUUGUAUCCUUUUCCCUCUCGCUCUCAUCCAACACUUCUCACUCUGCCCCUACUCGAAUGGUAUUGCGCCGUCCCAACCUUCGCUCUCUCUCUCCCGCUACUCUCUCCUCUUCCAUCCUAUCAUCUCUUCCCUCUGCUCAAACCUUCUCCAACCUAUCUCCUGAUUCUGCCUCCUCAACCCUCCUCUCCUCCCUUUCUGCAUCCUUUGAGUCUCUAUGUCCCCUAUCCUCCAGGCCGGCUCGGUCCUCCCCUCCUGCUCCGUGGCUCGACGAAUCAUUGCGAGCUCACAGAACAGGGCUCCGGGCAGGCGAGCAGAAAUGGAGGAAAACUCGCCUCCCUGCGGACCUGGCAUCCUUUCACUCCCUCCUCUCUACAUUUUCCUCUUCUGUCUCUGCUGCUAAAGCCACUUUCUACCACUCUAAAUUCCCAGCAUCUNNNNNNNNNNNNNNNNNNNNUGCUCUCUCCUCGUCUGCCCACGUGUUCUCGCAUACCCCUAGAGCAUCGAGCCAGCGGGGUGGUGGCACUGGAAUCCUCAUCUCUCCCAAGCGGACAUUCUCUCUUUCUCCCCUGACCCAUCCGUCUAUCUCCUCAUUUGAAUUCCAUGCUGUCACAGUUACCAGCCCUUUCAAGCUUAACAUCCUUAUCAUUUAUCGCCCUCCAGGUUCCCUUGGAGAGUUCAUCAAUGAGCUUGACGCCUUGAUAAGUUCCUUUCCUGAGGAUGGCUCACCUCUCACAGUUCUGGGUGACUUUAACCUCCCCACGUCUACCGUUGACUCAUUCCUCUCUGCCUCCUUCUUUCCACUCCUCUCCUCUUUUGACCUCACCCUCUCACCUUCCCCCCCUACUCACAAGGCAGGCAAUACGCUUGACCUCAUCUUUACUAGAUGCUGUUCUUCCACUAAUCUCAUUGCAACUCCCCCCCAAGUCUCUGACCACUACCUUGUAUCCUUUUCCCUCUCGCUCUCAUCCAACACUUCUCACUCUGCCCCUACUCGAAUGGUAUUGCGCCGUCCCAACCUUCGCUCUCUCUCUCCCGCUACUCUCCCUCUUCCAUCCUAUCAUCUCUCCCCCCUGCUCAAACCUUCUCCAACCUAUCUCCUGAUUCUGCCUCCUCAACCCUCCUCUCCUCCCUCUCUGCAUCCUUUGAUUUUCUCUGUCCCCUAUCCUCCAGGCCGGCUCGGUCCUCCCCUCCUGCUCCGUGGCUCGACGACUCACUGCGAAGCACAGUUCCCGCUCAGCCCAGUCAAAACUGUUCGCUGCUCUGGCACCCCAAUGGUGGAACAAGCUCCCUCACGACGCCAGGACAGCGGAGUCAAUCACCACCUUCCGGAGACACCUGAAACCCCACCUCUUUAA
rnacentral:lncRNA from 8 species